GGCUGCUGCAGGUUUGUUUCAAAAGACAUUUCAUUGUUUUUAUUGUUACAAGAGUUCUGUUGUGAUUUUUUGGUUACUAUUUAAUAUAUUUGAUGUGAAAUUUAGUAUCUUUAUGCGUCAUGUUUUGAAGAAAGAAGAGAACUAAAUCACUCUCCAAGUGCUCAAAUUCAGUGGGAUAACUUCCUAUUGAACCAGGAAACAUGAUUAAUCAUAUGCAUAGUUGGAAAUGAGCGUUGGCUGCAUGAUGCAGGAGAGGGAAUUCAUUUGAUUAUGAAAUUAUCACCUUUCCAGUGUCUAAGAGCUGGGACUGUUUUAAACAGUUUUUGAAGUAAAUUUAUCAGUUCUUAUAGCUGGACAACAGUUAAAUAUAAUUCCAAAAGGGGGACUGCAGACGUGAUUGCCACUCAUCAUGUCAAAUGAUUCUAGAUGGAGAUGGCUAUUUUAGGUUUGUUAAUUUGGUUUACGUUGUAUGGUUCAAUGCAUGAGCUUAACUCUUUUAUGGUAGACUGAUAGUUUCUUAAGCAUUGGGCUAGUCACUUGGGAAGAACUUCUUGUGCAAAUCAAAGGGUAAUGCUUAGGCUGCCAAUUAGUGUAGAUGGCCUAGAGGCUAGAUUUGAUCCCUUAUACACAAUGAAAGUUUAAAUACAGGAGCCCUGGUAUUAUUAGAUGCUUCGGUGUUUGACUUUUGUAAAGUGGUGAUUUGCCUUUCAUUCAGGUGUAUUAUUGGAAUCUAAAUCUGGUAUGAAAAACUGAAUAUGGGGUUGUGAACUGAAAAAUGAGCAAGAUUGUUGAAAAGGGUACCAAUUAAAUGGACUUUCAUAUAUGUUCGUGAUUCCAAUAUUUUACCCUUAAAUGAUACAGUGCCAGGCACCAUAAGAAAUUAACAUUCCUGUGAGACAAAUUUGCAAUGUAGUCUUUAUUUCUGUCUGGGACAUAAGAACCUCAUUUGAAGCAUAUCCUCCACCCUAUAUGGUUAUCAACAAUAAAAGUUAGUUGCAUAUUUUUGGUUUUUCAAAUCAAAUGAAUUUAAUUUGUUUAUCUAUUUUUAAUGUUUGACCAUGAUGUUUGAAUUUCACCAAUUUCAAUCCUCUUCCCAAUACUCAAAAAAGUUUGACCAUGAUGUUUUACAUUGUGAAUCAAUCAGGUCCUCAUUCAAGAAUAUGGUUAGCUUCUAGGAGUCUGCUUCUUUGAAACUUAUGUUGCUUUGUGAUUAAGCUAUCAUACUACUAAUUAUGAUUGAUUCACAGAAAUGAUUUCAUGAUUGUUUCUAAAUUCUGGAAGAGAAGAUGUAUGGGGGUUUUAUGAAUGGUUUGAAUGCGUUAUUGAAAUUGAAUAAUGGUGUUCUGAUUACACAAUAAGAUUCCUCUCUAAUUUUGAAAUAAAUAAGAAGCCGAAGUCGGGGCAAAAAACAUCUGCCAGUUUUAUGGUAUGACUCUGAUUAGUCAGUUUUAAUCCCUUUUGGCAUAUCUUAAUCUUAUUUAUUCAUUCAUAAUAGGUUUAGGAUGUUUUCUUUAAGAUGCUCACUUCCCCGUUUUCUUCUUUU
rnacentral:misc_RNA from 1 species